rnacentral:rRNA from 1 species
AUUGAACGCUGGCGGCAGGCCUAACACAUGCAAGUCGAGCGAGCGGCGGACGGGUGAGUACUGCCUGGGAAUUGCCCAGUCGAGGGGGAUAAAAGUGGGAAACGACUGAUAAUACCGCAUACGAUUGGAUUGCCCAGGUGGGAUUAGCUAGUUGGUUAGGUAAUGGCGCACCAAGGCGACGACCCCUAGCUGGUCUGAGAGGAUGAGCAGCAAAACUGUAACUGAGACACGGUCCAGACGCCUACUGGAGGCAGCAGUGGUGAAUAUUGCACAAUGGGGGAAACCCUGAUGCAGCCAUGCCGCGUGUGUGAAGACGGCCUUCGGGUUGUAAAGCACUUUCAGCGUGGAGGCGUUACUCGCAGAAGAAGCACCGGCUAACUCCGUGCCAGCAGCCGCGGUAAUAC